rnacentral:rRNA from 1 species
GAUGAACGCUGGCGGUAUGCUUAACACAUGCAAGUCGAACGGUACCUUCGGGUAUAGUGGCGGACGGGUGAGUAACGCGUGAGAAUCUAUCUUCAGGUCGGGGACAACAGUUAGAAAUGACUGCUAAUACCGGAUGUGCCGAAAGGUAAAAGAUUUAUUGCCUGAAAAAGAGCUCGCGUCAGAUUAGCUAGUAGGUGGUGUAAGAGACUACCUAGGCUUCGAUCUGUAGCUGGUCUGAGAGGACGAUCAGCCACACUGGAACUGAGACACGGUCCAGACUCCUACGGGAGGCAGCAGUGGGGAAUUUUCCGCAAUGGGCGAAAGUCUGACGGAGCAAUACCGCGUGAGGGACGAAGGCUCUUGGGUCGUAAACCUCUUUUCUCAAGGAAGAUUCAGACGGUACUUGAGGAAUAAGCAUCGGCUAACUCUGUG